rnacentral:rRNA from 1 species
UAGCGUAUAUUAAAGUUGUUGCAGUUAAAAAGCUCGUAGUCGGAUUUCAGGGCGGGGCUGCCGGUCUGCCGAUGGGUAUGCACUGGUGGGCUCGUUCUUCCUUCUGGGGACUGCGCCUACUCUUGACUGAGCGGGCGUAGGAAACAGGACUUUUACUUUGAAAAAAUCAGAGUGUUUAAAGCAGGCCAAGAUGCUCUUGCAUGGAUUAGCAUGGGAUAAUGGAAUAGGACUUUGGUGCUAUUUUGUUGGUUUCGAACACCGAAGUAAUGAUUAAUAGGGACAGUCAGGGGCACUCGUAUUCCGUUGAGAGAGGUGAAAUUCUCAGACCAGCGGAAGACGAACCACUGCGAAAGCAUUUG